rnacentral:lncRNA from 1 species
GGGAAGGCACUGCCUUCAGGCCUGACAAGACCAGGCUCCGCCCUAAUCCAGCCAAGGCUCCGCCCAGAAGCCAAGAGACCUGAAACCUAUAGGGCACUUGACUGGGUGCGACCUGACUGACUGCCUACAGCUGAAUGGCCACAGAUGCCAUCAUUGCCUGAUAACCCAAGUGUGUCUGGCUGUCCGACUGAACACUGAGUUCACAGGUGCCUGACAGACCAAGACAGUUGGCUCUGUACAUCCCUACCACAGCUGACUGACUUCCCUUACUUGGCUCAUGGUGUCUCUCCUGCAGGAGGCUUUUGUCUGAGGUGAUCUAACUGCAGCUGACCAACCAGACCCUACCCACUCGUGACAAGCCGCAUCUGAUUGGUGUUAGCCACCUGUGCCUGGAUGGUGGCAGUUUACCGAUUGAGUUCAUCUAUGCCAACUGCCUGACCCCCUCCACUUCACCCCAGCUUUACGAGAUCAGAUGAGCUGACCACAGUUGGAUCUGAGUGCCCCAAUGGGCUUUGGAACUACGACCAGGCUACCCCUAUGGGUCUCUCCACAACACUGAGAUGGGUCAGUUGACCAAACCCUCAGCCCAGUUGGCAUGGCUGCUGAGUCUGCCUCUGAGUGAAUAUGUAUGUCAUGGACAGGACAUUCUGUGUGACUGGGCCUGCCCGAUAUCCUUCCAUAGCUACCUAUGUCUGGCCCAACUAGAUUCACAACAUCAGCAACACCUGCAUAAGGGCCAUGAUGUCUAACCACUCUAGCUGUGUCUGUCUCUUAUACAGUAGCCAUUCAGUAAGCAAUCCAGUCCAGUCCGAUUGCCUGGCUGGUCAGCUGCCUCAGGUUGAGUGGGCCCAUGACAUUCCUCUCCAUGACUCAUGACAGAUCCCUUUCGACACAGAUGUCCAUGAGGACUUCUGCAUGUUUUUUGUGCAGGGUCUGGGACCUGAACAUUUUUAAUUAUAAGACUCAACCUUGAGGACCAAAGCUAGUGUACCAACAGGGAAGGGGGCUUAGGAAAAGCCAGUGAUGGAGCAGGCAGCAGGAGUAGGAGUCCAGGCCCAGUGGUGGACAGCUGCAAGAAACAGCAGGGCUGGGGAAGAGACUAUAAGGUGUCCAGACCUCCUACCUCAGGAAUCUAAUUCUAUACCAAAGUCAAAAUCUGGAGGAGCUGGCUUGGUGUGUGAGUGCCUCCAGUAAACAUCUGACCGUCUGUCUUUUGUUCCUUCGGAUAUGGGAAAUCUCUGUGCCCUGCUUUGCAGAAGGGGCAUCCUGUAGUCCUCCCAAAUUUAGAUCUUCCCUGUCAUGUCUAUGUGAGGCUGCCAGGCUGAUCUCCAGGCUUCAUCUCCAGGAAGACGCUCUUUGCUGUAAGAGGGGAGGAAGUACUGGCUAGAGAGUUUUUUUUUUUUAAGUAAGUGUAUCGAUUGCAUGGGUAUGCUAUGAAUUAUAUCUAUUGCUAUUAAUGCUAAUAAAAUGAGAGCAUUGG